rnacentral:rRNA from 1 species
AUCACCUGCUGAAUUUAAGCAUAUAAGUAAGCGGAGGACAAGAAACUAAACAGGAUCCCCAUAGUAAUGGCGAAUGAACCGGGAUAAACUCAGCAUGGAAAUUGGGGCCUUUGGCUUUGACUUGUAAUCUGGUGAGGCAUUGCCAACAGAGGCGCAUAUGUAAGUCUCUUGGAAAAGAGCAUCAACGAAGGUGAGAGUCCUGAUUGUCAUGUGCAGCCCCCCUGUGCACGGUGUGCCUUCUAAGAGUCACGUUCCUUGGGAUUGGAGCGCAAAUUGGGUGGUAACUUUCAUCUGAAGUUAAACAAUGGUUUGGGACCGAUAGGAAACAAGUACCAUGAGGGAAAGGUGAAAAGGACUUUGGAAAGAGAGUUAAAAGUGCCUGAAAUUGCUGAAGGGGAAGCGAAUGGAACCAGUGGUGCUGGGUGAGAUUGUCACAUGCUGCAAGGAUUGGUUGCUGCCACAACGCAAGUGUGCUGGCAAUUUCUGAAUUGCUAGUGUGUGGUGUGUCUUACCUAGUGGGUCAUUGUGGGUUUAUGCAUUAAGAUAAGUCAAAGCAAGCGGGAGCAAGUUUACGAGUUUGUGAAUGUGUGUUGUUAUGCUUGUGCGUAAGCUUUAGUGUUUGUCUGGCUGCAGGGCUGUCCAUCCUCAAGCUUUGCUGUGGUUGCGAUGAGCAUAACCUUCUGCACAGAUCUUGACGAAAUGGUUUCAUUCGACCCGUCUUGAAACACGGACCAAG